UCCGUAGGCGGGCUAAUAAGUCAGAGGUGAAAUCCCACAGCUUAACUGUGGAACUGCCUUAGAUACUGGUUAUCUUGAGUUUUAGUGAAGUAGAUAGAAUGUGUAGUGUAGCGGUGAAAUGCAUAGAUAUUACACAGAAUACCGAUUGCGAAGGCAGUCUACUAACUAACAACUGACGCUAAUGGACGAAAGCGUGGGGAGCGAACAGGAUUAGAUACCCUGGUAGUCC
rnacentral:rRNA from 1 species